rnacentral:rRNA from 1 species
AUUGGACGCUGGCGGCAGGCCUAACACAUGCAAGUCGAGCGGAUGAAGGGAGCUUGCUCCUGGAUUCAGCGGCGGACGGGUGAGUAAUGCCUAGGAAUCUGCCUGGUAGUGGGGGAUAACGUCCGGAAACGGGCGCUAAUACCGCAUACGUCCUGAGGGAGAAAGUGGGGGAUCUUCGGGCCUCACGCUAUCAGAUGAGCCUAGGUCGGAUUAGCUAGUUGGUGGGGUAAAGGCCUACCAAGGCGACGAUCCGUAACUGGUCUGAGAGGAUGAUCAGUCACACUGGAACUGAGACACGGUCCAGACUCCUACGGGAGGCAGCAGUGGGGAAUAUUGGACAAUGGGCGAAAGCCUGAUCCAGCCAUGCCGCGUGUGUGAAGAAGGUCUUCGGAUUGUAAAGCACUUUAAGUUGGGAGGAAGGGCAGUAAGUUAAUACCUUGCUGUUUUGACGUUACCAACAGAAUAAGCACCGGCUAACUUCGUG